rnacentral:rRNA from 1 species
UACGUAGGGUGCGAGCGUUGUCCGGAAUUAUUGGGCGUAAAGAGCUUGUAGGCGGUUUGUCGCGUCUGCUGUGAAAAUCCGGGGCUCAACCCCGGACUUGCAGUGGGUACGGGCAGACUAGAGUGUGGUAGGGGAGACUGGAAUUCCUGGUGUAGCGGUGGAAUGCGCAGAUAUCAGGAGGAACACCGAUGGCGGAGGCAGGUCUCUGGGCCAUUACUGACACUGAGAAGCGAAAGCAUGGGGAGCGAACAGG